CAUGGCUUGGUUAUGGGUUGAGUCUCCCGUCAGUGCGAAAGUCGAGCUGGGCAGUAGUCCAUUUUCGGUGCCCGCUUCUGUCCUCUCCGGGAUCCGAGAGCCGAUCGUCGGGAUCCCCCAGAUAUUCACGCCGGGUCAUGGCGGUUCAGGAUUCCCCGGAAGCAAGCCAGGGAACAGCCCAGGAUGGGGCGCCAGCCCAUCACAGACCACACUCACACACCAUUCACUCACACAUUCAC